GAGUUUGAUCCUGGCUCAGGAUGAACGCUAGCGGCAGGCCUAACACAUGCAAGUCGAACGGUAACAGGGAAAGGCUUGCUUUUCCGCUGACGAGUGGCGCACGGGUGCGUAACGCGUAUACAAUCUACCUCUUACAGGGGGAUAGCCUUUAGAAGUGAAGAUUAAUACCCCAUGGCAUUAUAAACCGGCAUCAGUUUAUAAUUAAAGUUUCGGCGGUAGGAGAUGAGUAUGCGUUCUAUUAGCUAGUAGGUGUGGUAACGGCACACCUAGGCAACGAUAGAUAGGGGCCCUGAGAGGGGGAUCCCCCACACUGGUACUGAGACACGGACCAGACUCCUACGGGAGGCAGCAGUGAGGAAUAUUGGACAAUGGGCGGAAGCCUGAUCCAGCCAUGCCGCGUGCAGGAAGACUGCCCUAUGGGUUGUAAACUGCUUUUGUACAGGAAGAAACCUUUCCACGUGUGGAGAGCUGACGGUACUGUAAGAAUAAGCAUCGGCUAACUCCGUGCCAGCAGCCGCGGUAAUACGGAGGAUGCAAGCGUUAUCCGGAAUCAUUGGGUUUAAAGGGUCCGUAGGUGGAUUGGUCAGUCAGAGGUGAAAUCCUGCAGCUCAACUGUAGAACUGCCUUUGAUACUGCCGGUCUUGAAUUAUUGUGAAGUGGUUAGAAUAUGUAGUGUAGCGGUGAAAUGCAAGAUAUUACAUAGAAUACCGAUUGCGAAGGCAGAUCACUAACAAUAUAUUGACACUGAUGGACGAAAGCGUGGGGAGCGAACGGGAUUAGAUACCCCGGUAGUCCACGCCGUAAACGAUGGUCACUAGCUGUUCGGACUUCGGUCUGAGUGGCUAAGCGAAAGUGAUAAGUGACCCACCUGGGGAGUACGUUCGCAAGAAUGAAACUCAAAGGAAUUGACGGGGCUCGCACAAGCGGCGGAGCAUAUGGUUUAAUUCGA
rnacentral:rRNA from 1 species